rnacentral:rRNA from 1 species
UGAGGAACAUGACCUUCGGCGGGGGAUAGCCGGCCCAACGGCCGGGUAAUACCGCGUACGACCACAUGGGGACAUCCCUGAGUGGUGAAAGCAGCAAUGCGCCGAUGGAGUGCCUCGCGGCCUAUCAGCUAGUUGGUGAGGUAACGGCUCACCAAGGCGACGACGGGUAGCUGGUCUGAGAGGAUGGCCAGCCACAUUGGGACUGAGACACGGCCCAGACCUGUACCGGGGAG